UGACCUUGUACGUCCUGUCCAGCACAGCCCAAAAAAAUGCUUUGCUUGAUGGCGUAACAAUUUCUGGAACGUCUUUAAGUUGUAAAAGUCUGGAUGGAAGUUCGUCGCGGGUGACCGGGACAGUCCUGCGUUACUUUAACGAUUCCAUCGCCCGCCCAGAGGAUGUCCCGGCGUCGUGGUACAGGGGUGGACGGAUGGUGAUAGAGAUUAAAUUCUUCCAAUUCCCACAGAGGUCAUCUUCGACACUUCGCUGUGGUGUGACGAGAAACACUGCAUUUGGAGAUAUUAAAAUUUUUGCCGACUUGACAACAAAGAAAGUUGGAUGUCCACGGGCGAAAUGGGGAAACCAGUGUCAACAAGACUGUCUGUGUCAAAAUGGCGGUCUAUGCCACACAUUUGACGGCACGUGCUCAUGUUCGGAUCCUUAUGCCGGCGUCAGGUGUGAAAUAGAUUUAGCCUCAACACCUUCAACAGAAGGAAAUGUAAACAGUACAGGAAGUUCCUCCACCAAUAUGCCGACAACAACGCAAGUGCUAUCCAACAAUUCCACUGCCAAACCAAGGAAAGGAGUCCUAGCAUCGGAAUCAUUCACAGACGACAUAAAUUCGUCAUCCCAUCUUGUUAUGGGAAUCACUUUACAUAUCUGUAAUGUGAUAUGCUUAAUAUGGUUGAGUUUGUGUUGACUAAUGAGACUGUAGCUACUUACACUUGUGAGUUUGUAUUCAUUAGUGGUGCCGUUACUCGGAUAUUCAUGAGUUUGCAUUGAACAAUUGGACUAUUUACUGACACGCAUGAAGUACAACAUGAUUUAAACAGGUUUGUUCACUUUGUGUUACUGUCGUAUUUGGGGUAGCACAGGCCUGAUUGUCCUAUAGAAAGGUACAUGCAAUGGAAAACAAGGCCUUCUCCACUCCUAGUACACGGCAUUAAACAGUUAUACCACACUUCUUGACAGAGGUGUUCAGAAAAAGAUUAAGACUAACAUUGUCUGUGAUAAAGGUGUGAAAAUACAGAACAUAUAAUCUGUGAUUAUGGUCAUAUAUACAUGUAAGU